CAACAGAGGAGAUCUGCUGAGUGCGCCUGACGCAAUUGGCGCCAACCUGCCAGAGGGGCCGGAGGAAGUUCAGGAGGAUGAGUUUCCUGAUGAGACAAUACCUCAGGCCACUGAUAUUCUUUUCCCGUCUUCUUCUCCGGAACCUACGGCUGAAAGUGAAGGUGCAUCUCGGAGUCCUGUCAGCUCCCCAUUUGAGGACAGUGGGCCUAUCACUUCAACUCCGGAUAGUCGGUGUGAUCCCAGAGGCAUUCCCGGAUGGGAGGCAGUCGAUGCCUUGGCAGGGUACCUUGUCAGCCUCAACCGGACGAUAACUGCUCUUUCGAACCAAGAAAUAGCAGAUAUACUGAGGUUGUACUCCAGCCUGGAUGGAAUCGACAAGUCCCCAACAAAGUACUCCCUAAAAAAUAAGAAGACGACCUUGCCAGGGCCAUGGAGAGCUUCUCGGAAACGCAGUGGCUCUGCUCCAGGCCAACAAGCAGCCGAGAGAUUGUUCAUGGUUCAUGGCCAGGCUGCCCAUAGACCCGAUUACACCAGGGUCUCUGAGUGUGUUGCACUGAAGCUUUUCAAGGAGUUCAAGGAAGGCAGAAAUAGACCAAAAGACCCUAAGGGGAGGACAUUUCCAAUUCCUCAGGCUAUUGUUAUGACGUAUGGUCAUAUUAAACAAUUAAUUGAGGAUUGCCAACAAAUCCUGCAAAGCACCAACCUGGUACUGGUGACCAU